GACGAACGCUGGCGGCGUGCUUAACACAUGCAAGUCGAACGGAAAGGCCCAGCUUGCUGGGUGCUCGAGUGGCGAACGGGUGAGUAACACGUGGGUGAUCUGCCUCUAACUUCGGGAUAAGCUUGGGAAACUGGGUCUAAUACCGGAUAGGACAAUCGUUUAGUGUCGGUUGUGGAAAGUUUUUUCGGUUAGGGAUGAGCCCGCGGCCUAUCAGCUUGUUGGUGGGGUAAUGGCCUACCAAGGCGUCGACGGGUAGCCGGCCUGAGAGGGUGGACGGCCACAUUGGGACUGAGGUACGGCCCAGACUCCUACGGGAGGCAGCAGUGGGGAAUAUUGCACAAUGGGCGCAAGCCUGAUGCAGCGACGCCGCGUGGGGGAUGACGGCCUUCGGGUUGUAAACCUCUUUCGACAGGGACGAAGCUUUGGUGACGGUACCUGUAUAAGAAGCACCGGCUAACUACGUGCCAGCCGCCGCUGUAACAC
rnacentral:rRNA from 1 species